rnacentral:rRNA from 1 species
GACGAACCGUACGAACGUUAUUCGGAAUCACUGGGCUUAAAGGGUGCGUAGGCUGCGCGGAAAGUUGGGUGUGAAAUCCCUCGGCUCAACCGAGGAACUGCGCCCAAAACUGCCGUGCUCGAGGGAGACAGAGGUGAGCGGAACUUAGGGUGGAGCGGUGAAAAUGCGUUGAUAUCCUAAGGAACACCGGUGGCGAAAGCGGCUCACUGGGUCUCUUCUGACGCUGAGGCACGAAAGCUAGGGUAGCGAACGGG